rnacentral:rRNA from 1 species
GGGUUGUGAGGUUAAGCGACUAAGCGUACACGGUGGAUGCCCUGGCAGUCAGAGGCGAUGAAGGACGUGCUAAUCUGCGAUAAGCGUCGGUGAGGUGAUAUGAACCGUUAUAACCGGCGAUUUCCGAAUGGGGAAACCCAGUGUGUUUCGACACACUAUCAUUAACUGAAUCCAUAGGUUAAUGAGGCGAACCGGGGGAACUGAAACAUCUAAGUACCCCGAGGAAAAGAAAUCAACCGAGAUUCCCCCAGUAGCGGCGAGCGAACGGGGAGGAGCCCAGAGCCUGAAUCAGUGUGUGUGUUAGUGGAAGCGUCUGGAAAGGCGUGCGAUACAGGGUGACAGCCCCGUACACAAAAAUGCACAUAUUGUGAGCUCGAUGAGUAGGGCGGGACACGUGGUAUCCUGUCUGAAUAUGGGGGGACCAUCCUCCAAGGCUAAAUACUCCUGACUGACCGAUAGUGAACCAGUACCGUGAGGGAAAGGCGAAAAGAACCCCGGCGAGGGGAGUGAAAAAGAACCUGAAACCGUGUACGUACAAGCAGUGGGAGCCUCUUAAUGGGGUGACUGCGUACCUUUUGUAUAAUGGGUCAGCGACUUAUAUUCUGUAGCAAGGUUAACCGAAUAGGGGAGCCGAAGGGAAACCGAGUCUUAACUGGGCGUUAAGUUGCAGGGUAUAGACCCGAAACCCGGUGAUCUAGCCAUGGGCAGGUUGAAGGUUGGGUAACACUAACUGGAGGACCGAACCGACUAAUGUUGAAAAAUUAGCGGAUGACUUGUGGCUGGGGGUGAAAGGCCAAUCAAACCGGGAGAUAGCUGGUUCUCCCCGAAAGCUAUUUAGGUAGCGCCUCGUGAAUUCAUCUCCGGGGGUAGAGCACUGUUUCGGCAAGGGGGUCAUCCCGACUUACCAACCCGAUGCAAACUGCGAAUACCGGAGAAUGUUAUCACGGGAGACACACGGCGGGUGCUAACGUCCGUCGUGAAGAGGGAAACAACCCAGACCGCCAGCUAAGGUCCCAAAGUCAUGGUUAAGUGGGAAACGAUGUGGGAAGGCCCAGACAGCCAGGAUGUUGGCUUAGAAGCAGCCAUCAUUUAAAGAAAGCGUAAUAGCUCACUGGUCGAGUCGGCCUGCGCGGAAGAUGUAACGGGGCUAAACCAUGCACCGAAGCUGCGGCAGCGACACUAUGUGUUGUUGGGUAGGGGAGCGUUCUGUAAGCCUGUGAAGGUGGCCUGUGAGGGUUGCUGGAGGUAUCAGAAGUGCGAAUGCUGACAUAAGUAACGAUAAAGCGGGUGAAAAGCCCGCUCGCCGGAAGACCAAGGGUUCCUGUCCAACGUUAAUCGGGGCAGGGUGAGUCGACCCCUAAGGCGAGGCCGAAAGGCGUAGUCGAUGGGAAACAGGUUAAUAUUCCUGUACUUGGUGUUACUGCGAAGGGGGGACGGAGAAGGCUAUGUUGGCCGGGCGACGGUUGUCCCGGUUUAAGCGUGUAGGCUGGUUUUCCAGGCAAAUCCGGAAAACCAAGGCUGAGGCGUGAUGACGAGGCACUACGGUGCUGAAGUGACAAAUGCCCUGCUUCCAGGAAAAGCCUCUAAGCAUCAGGUAACAUCAAAUCGUACCCCAAACCGACACAGGUGGUCAGGUAGAGAAUACCAAGGCGCUUGAGAGAACUCGGGUGAAGGAACUAGGCAAAAUGGUGCCGUAACUUCGGGAGAAGGCACGCUGAUAUGUAGGUGAAGCGACUUGCUCGUGGAGCUGAAAUCAGUCGAAGAUACCAGCUGGCUGCAACUGUUUAUUAAAAACACAGCACUGUGCAAACACGAAAGUGGACGUAUACGGUGUGACGCCUGCCCGGUGCCGGAAGGUUAAUUGAUGGGGUUAGCGGUAACGCGAAGCUCUUGAUCGAAGCCCCGGUAAACGGCGGCCGUAACUAUAACGGUCCUAAGGUAGCGAAAUUCCUUGUCGGGUAAGUUCCGACCUGCACGAAUGGCGUAAUGAUGGCCAGGCUGUCUCCACCCGAGACUCAGUGAAAUUGAACUCGCUGUGAAGAUGCAGUGUACCCGCGGCAAGACGGAAAGACCCCGUGAACCUUUACUAUAGCUUGACACUGAACAUUGAGCCUUGAUGUGUAGGAUAGGUGGGAGGCUUUGAAGUGUGGACGCCAGUCUGCAUGGAGCCGACCUUGAAAUACCACCCUUUAAUGUUUGAUGUUCUAACGUUGGCCCGUAAUCCGGGUUGCGGACAGUGUCUGGUGGGUAGUUUGACUGGGGCGGUCUCCUCCUAAAGAGUAACGGAGGAGCACGAAGGUUGGCUAAUCCUGGUCGGACAUCAGGAGGUUAGUGCAAUGGCAUAAGCCAGCUUGACUGCGAGCGUGACGGCGCGAGCAGGUGCGAAAGCAGGUCAUAGUGAUCCGGUGGUUCUGAAUGGAAGGGCCAUCGCUCAACGGAUAAAAGGUACUCCGGGGAUAACAGGCUGAUACCGCCCAAGAGUUCAUAUCGACGGCGGUGUUUGGCACCUCGAUGUCGGCUCAUCACAUCCUGGGGCUGAAGUAGGUCCCAAGGGUAUGGCUGUUCGCCAUUUAAAGUGGUACGCGAGCUGGGUUUAGAACGUCGUGAGACAGUUCGGUCCCUAUCUGCCGUGGGCGCUGGAGAACUGAGGGGGCUGCUCCUAGUACGAGAGGACCGGAGUGGACGCAUCACUGGUGUUCGGGUUGUCAUGCCAAUGGCACUGCCCGGUAGCUAAAUGCGGAAGAGAUAAGUGCUGAAAGCAUCUAAGCACGAAACUUGCCCCGAGAUGAGUUCUCCCUGACUCCUUGAGAGUCCUGAAGGAACGUUGAAGACGACGACGUUGAUAGGCCGGGUGUGUAAGCGCAGCGAUGCGUUGAGCUAACCGGUACUAAUGAACCGUGAGGCUUAACCUUACAACGCCGAAG